rnacentral:lncRNA from 1 species
GGCACCCGCCACGGUGCUCGGCUAAUUUUUUUUGUAUUUUUAGUAGAGACGGGGUUUCACCGUGUUAGCCAGGAUGGUCUCUAUCUCCUGACCUGGUGGUCCAUCCGCCUGCGCCUCCCAAAGUGCUGGGAUUACAGGCGUGAGCCACUGCGCCCGGCCCUAUACAUGUUAUUUUUUAAAAACAAGAGAACUUUAAAAAAUGUGACAAAAACGUACAUCAAAAAAUGUAUACUUCUUCAGACCUUGAAGAAAUAUAUUCUACAUUUUUACAGCAGACAUUAAUGAACCUUUAGUCCUGUGUGUCUGUGGCUGACUGCCACAAUUACUACUUGAGACCGUCACUAUGACAGUUAUUACUGUUACUACUUGAGACCGUCACUACGACAGUUAUUGUUACUACUUGAGACCGUCAUUACAGGACUGAACGAAAGGACAAACGUAGAAAUGAUUAAAAAAAUCUGUUUUAAAGGAAGGGGAAACCGGGAAGAAGGGAGCUCCCUGCUUCUAGUGAGCGAAGGCAGCCCCCCGAGCUUCCACAGCCCUUCGCAUUCAUUGGGAGAAUGAGCAGGGAGGAGGCCCUAAGACUGGUCAGCUGUUUGAUUAUCACAAGUUCUCAUUACUAACAGGCUUCAGUUGUGUCUAAUCCUAAACACUUGCACCUGGGUGGUGACUGCCCUCAGCAGUCCUUCUGGGCGGCAGACACAGGUUGUCAGUUUGCCAACACCCUGCUCUCAUGAGAAACAGUUUGCUGCUUACUCACGUGGCCUCCAGUGGUAUACUGAGUUGAUCACGACCCUCAAUCUUUCGGCCCCUAAGAGCCGCAGGGGGGUGGGGAGGUGCCAGGCUGCUGAGGCCUUUGGGUUCCUAGGCUGCUGGCAUUUUAAAACCACCACUGUAUUCCACCUCCCCUUGGAUAACACGCAGAAACAGGCCAAGAAGAAAUUACCUGCUGUUGGUUAUUUCUAUUUCAAAUGAAUACUAGCUGAACAUUUACUAAAUGACAUUGUCAGGUUUCAGCAAAAGCGGCCUGUAAUAGUUGGGUUUUGGCAGAGUUCAAAGACUGGGAAGCAAAGUUCAGCCAUGUUGGGCCUUUGGGCUCAUAGAUGAGCAAGGGUACCCCAAUAUGAGGGCUCAGCAAAUUCUGGAACUUAUCAGUUCUGAAGACCUUUAGAGGAGAAGGAGACAAGUAAAAGGGUUGGCCUUGCGUAUUGGCAAUGAAACAGGCUAUUUUUGACAUUGAGUUGUCCAGCAUUCUCUAAGGUAUGUAGUCCUGGAGGGCGCUGCUUAAUGAACCAGAAGUCCUGCCUCUUAAGUACCUCACCAGCUCAAAUGUGUGCAUGUCACCUUGGCGUGAAUCGGAGCAGGCGCUGGUGGAUACCGUUUGGAGGCAUGCCAGCAAGGAGCUCCUUGUGUAGCCUGCCUCUGGAGCCUCAAGUUCAACUUCCAUAGGGCCAAAAGGGGAGUCGGGCUGGGCAGAAGCUCCUGAGAACCAAAGCAAAUGGUCUGAGAGUCUGAGAGUGUAGUGGAGGUAACGUGUUCGUGUCCUCUCUGGCUGCAUCACCCCAAGUCCUUGCAGACUCAAGUAGCCUAUUUGCAAGUUUAAAUAGUUUGAGUCCUGGCCGGUAACAAGAAUACUCUACAGUGGCCCAGAGUCAGGGAUAUAGAGUGGCGACUACUUGGCAGAACUGGAGCUUGCUCAGAUGAAAAGAUAAAUUGUACUGGUUAAACGAAGAUCAAGUGCAGGGUCUGGACUUUGUUUCUAUCUUUCAUGUGGACUCUAUAAGCACCUACACACAGCAUUCUAGAAACACUGCUCCCAUCCCUCCUGUCUCAUGUCAUCCUCCCAAUUCCGGGAGUUGGGGGGCAUACUCUUUCCCUGUGUCAUGUGAGAAAUUCCUUUCUCAUGGGAAGCAGGUGGCAUUCCUGGACUCUCCUUGGCCUGGCCGUUGGUAAGCACAGGAAUUCAAGGUGUCUGAAUCUCUUGUCAAAGGUGGGCUGUAAGGCUCCAGAAGAGGAGGACAGAAAGUGCCUGCAGAGCUCCUGCCUGAGGCCUUUGGAUGGGCCCUGCUGGCUUGCCGUGUGUGUGUGUGUGUGUGUGUGUGUGUGUGUGUGUGUGUGGUGUCGUGCUUAUUUGCCCCAAAUGAGGCAAGAGAGCAGUGAUCAGGUGUCUCCCCAGCAUCUAGUUUCAUGAAGACAAUAGAAGUGGGUCGGAUCAGGCCUGCUGCCAUGCUUGGCUUGCCCAUGUCUCCUAGGAUUGGCUGCCUGGUGGCCAUCCCUUUGCCAUCCCCUUGACUGCCCUGUGAAUGAUGUCCACUCUGAGACCCCAGGCCACUCAGAAAAACUGAAGAUUCUCAAGUUCAGGUGCAGUUAGGGGGCAGGUCCUGGUGGUGGGGGAGCUUUGAUGUUCUGCAGUUGGAGGAUCCUCUUUCAGAAUAGUAAUGCAAUUUGUGAAUUAAUAAAAUUAGGUAUGCAAGAGGAUAUGUAGAAAAGAAAAAUCACAAGCUACACAAUUUUUAAGUUGACAAAACUACGAACAUCACAAAAUAAUAUGAUAUUUUAAAUUAAUUAUCUGCCUGGAAUACUCUGUCAUUUUUUUUUGAUCUUUUGCCUGCAUCGUCUUUGAUAGCAGUGUUUUUGAUAUUGCUUUUUAUAGAGAGACUCAAGAUAAUGGAGUCUACUCUGUUGUGGUUAAUUAAACAUUUUUUGGUGUUAUUCAUAGUUUGAGAUGUUUCUUUUAGCUUCUCAACCUGCUAUACAGAUAAAAAGCACUUUCAUGUCAGGUAAAUAUUUAGAAUUGUUGCCAAAUUUUAAAUUUCCUCCAUCAAUUUUCUUUCAUAUGUCAUAUAUGAGUUGUGAGAUUUGGAAGGAUAUUUCAGACCAGCUUCUGUAUCUAUUUUUUUCUCUAAUCACAUGCUACUGGUGGUGUGGACAGUAGUAGCACAUGACCAUAUCAGGACAUGAUCUAUCUUGGUGUCAUGGCUCUCAGUGAGUCUGCUUGGAGGGUAGUAGAAGUAUCCCUGGACGUCAUUCCUACACCAGGACAGCAAUAACUUAGCUCUCCAAGGAAGUUACUGUGAACCACAUGCACAUAUUCUACUCAAGUCAAUGUGCCCCCAACUCAAUUUGUCCUUAGCUAGACCCCAAAAGUUCUCAUGGGGAGUCUCACUCCCCUUCCACUUAACAUGAUGGAAGGCCUGAUUGGAGGGGGGCGUCAGCAGUGGGAAGAGACACAGCCUUCACUGAUUGCAGCUAAAAUGUCUUACUUUUGAAAAUAGGACAAAAACAUAUGACCAUGUGCAUAUACUGCUGAAGCCCCUCCCUGGGCCAUGCAAGGUGCCUAUGUGAGUGCAAGUGAGAUGCCCGGAAGUGUAAGUUUCAUCUGCUCAGGAAAGGGCCAGGUAUUGCCUGGUAUCACAUUCCAGGGGAAAGGAAGAGACAGUCAAGGCCUUAUGGCUCUUAACUUUGAUCUUAGUGCUUCGUAUUUUCCAUUCUGCAUGAUACAAAAACAGAUUUAAAUCAUGUUCUAGAUAGAGAUGAAAAGCAUUUUCACUUUUGGCAGGUCGUGGAACAUCAAUCAAUAUUUGUUAAUUGGUUGAACUGGAUGCAUAAUUGGAAAGCUAAUGGAAGGAGAUAUGUUUUACAAGGAAGGGCCCUUGGUGAUCACUGAUUAGUCAUUUUUACAGAUAGCAAAGCCAGGAAGGGGAAUGACUGUCUGAAGGUGGCAGUGAAUGACAGAGCUGAGGCCCAUGGCAAGGUGCACUAGUACACUCUGCCUUUGCAUGACUGUAAGCAAUUAAAGUCUCAUCAGAAGUCAUUGUGAGUUAAUACACGGAGCAAAUAUAGGUGCAGAUGUCUAGAAGCAACAAUGGCAUUUACAGUGAAGCCAAACAUUGAAGGUUUACUGUAAAAUGUUGCACUGAAUUCUUUAUAUACACCUGUUUUGGUUAGUCAUUAUUCUCUCCAGUCUGUGGGUUACAUGCCCCUUGCUGACCCACAGUACCAUGCCACAAGAUAGGCAGUGUAUUGGCCAGGUGCACACCUGGCAAAAGUCUACUCUGCUUAGGUUCAGCUGUGGAUGGGUUCUGUGCGCCUUGGAUGGGGUCGUGAAAACUGUGGGACUACAGGACUGGGCUUGUGGGCAGAAGAGUCAUAGGGCACUCUGCCUAGGAAAAGGGAAAGGGGCCUGUUCCUACCAGGUGCUCUGCGGAGUGUCCACACUGCAGGGAAAGGCUCAGGUCUGAAUAGGAGGUGCAGACUUUGUGUCUACAGGACCCUGCAAACCUGAGGCCUUGUGGAGGUUUGGUCAAGAUGGAGAGGCCAGUUAGCGGCGUACCAUGGGCUAGACUGUCCAUGACGUGGAGUAAAAGGCAGCUAUUGGCACUGAGCUAACAACAGUGGGAGGUGGGGCCUCAGUGGAAGUGGAUUGCUUGCUUCUCAUCCUGCCUCCAACACUUGGUACCCACAUGACCCUGCACAAGGAACCUGUUUGUCCCAUCUGAGCCUCUGCAUCUUGGGCUGUCAAAAGCCAAGAAAAAAAAAUUGUAAGACUGAUCUCAUAGGGUCGUUACGAGAAUUAAAUGAGAUAAUCCAUGUAAAGCAACUGACAUGUAAAAAUAACAAUAAUGAAAGUGACACUAAUCUUAGGGUCUACUUCGACUUUGCUAAGUGGUUUUACAAUAAAUAGCAUUAUUUAUUAUUAUUCAUUAUGUUUAAUAUUACUAUUAAAUCAGUCUCCAUGGCUGUGGAUGGGGGUAGGAUGACCUGGGCCUGUGGGCCCUGACUAUUUGCCUCCUCCAUGCCCAGGUACCCAGUCCCUGCAGGCAUCUGCAGCUCAGUCCCCCAUGAGAACUUCAGGGUGUCCAGCCAAGGGCAGGGUCUCUGGGAGCCUCUCUUUUCUAACGGGGGCUGGGCUGCUGGGCUCAGGAAGCCCAUAUAGCCCUAUGCUUCAAGGGAGGAUGGUGA